rnacentral:rRNA from 1 species
CCUACGGGAGGCUGCAGUCGAGAAUCAUUCACAAUGGGGGAAACCCUGAUGGUGCGACGCCGCGUGGGGGAAUGAAGGUCUUAGGAUUGUAAACCCCUGUCAUGUGGGAGCAAAUUAAAAAGAUAGUACCACAAGAGGAAGAGACGUCUAACUCUGUGCCAGCAGCCGCGGGAAUACAGCGGUCUCAAGCGUUGUUCGGAAUCACUGAGCGUAAAGCGUGCGUAGGCUGUUUUGUAAGUCGUGGGGGAAAGGCGCGGGCUCAACCCGCGGAGGGCACAUGAAACUGGGAGACUAGAGUAAUGGAGAGGGAAGCGGAAUUCGCGGUGUAGCAGUGAAAUGCGUAGAUAUCGAGAGGAACACUAGUGGCGAAGGCGGGUUACUGGACAUUAACUGACGCUGAGGCACGAAGGCGAGGGGAGCGAAAAGGAUUAGAUACCCGAGUAGUC